CUCAGGUAUUGUGCUUGGUGUCUCAGGUAUUGUGCUCGGUGUCCCAGGUAGGCUGACUAAAUACUUUUUUUCCCCACUGUAACUGUAGGUCUGAUGAUAAAAGAAAGAAAGAACAGGGGCCACAUCGUCUGGUUUGGCAGGUGGAAGAUUUGUCUGAGAAUGUACCUCUUGCUGUAACGAACAGAGUAAUACAUUGUUGUCAGCAUGGCAAUCCACGAAAGAAUUGCAAAAAUCUGGAGCUCUCUUUAGAGGAUGAGCAUGUAUACUCUGGCAAAAGGAAAAUAAUGUACAUACAAAUGACCAAAAAAGUUGGCUGCACAGCCAAACUUUUGAUUAGGUACAUUAGAAGGUGGGCUA
ensembl:lncRNA